UGCAAUUCAAUUGAAAUACAACUUUCAACAGUGGAUGUCUUGGCUUGCACACCGAUGAAGAACGCUGCGAACUGCGAUACGUAAUGCGAAUUGCAGAAUUCAGUGAGUCAUCAAAAUUUUGAACGCAUAUUGCACUUCCGGG
rnacentral:rRNA from 1 species